rnacentral:lncRNA from 12 species
GACUUCUAUUUUGAGAGUUAAAACCAGAUCUGAGGAUAACAAGUUGUAGCCAGGGAUCUCAUCCCAAGGAAAUGUGAAAUGGUAAUCAUUUCUCAGAGAACUGGAAACCCUAGGCAUGGAAGCUCUGGCUCACCAGCCUGCCUCUGCUUGACAAAUGAUGAAGAUAAUGAAAGUGAAGGUGCAGAGCGGAACGGCCAAGGCAGUCUGGGCACGUCUCUCAUCACCACCUGUUUGGCGGUCCCUUCUCUAGAGAAUACCAAACCAAUGUCCUCUCAAGCCGAUGGAACUUCUGCUUUGGUUUAAUGCCUUGAAUUUUCUUGACUUCUCAUGAGUUCUCAAAACUCUCAGAACUGCCUCCAGUCUUCUGUGCCAUGAAAACCCGAGGCUGAGUGAAAGUGCCUCCCUCUAGGCCUUCCUUCCACCUACUGUGAAUACUCGUCCUGUUGACAUUUGAAUAUUUCCUGUGACAACAGUAUAUACUAUCGGUAUUUCAUUAAGCAAAAGCAAGUAUGUUUUUCCUCUUUUGCUCUGUUAUUUAUUUAUCCACCAUCUGGCUAGAUCAGAAGAUGAAGUCUGGAAGGAAAUUUUUUCUUCUUCUUUUGGCUAAUGAGAGUCUGGCAGAAGGAUGGAAUAAGCCAGAGGCUGGAUGAAAAUCUCUAGAUCCAGUAGAAGGAAAUCAGCCCUUCCGUGAGGUGGCAGGUGAGCACCCAAAGGCAACUUGCAUAGUUAACAGACAGUUACGAAGGUCUGUACUUGGGAUGCUUAUGUGUCCAGGCAAUCUGCUGCUUUGCCAAACCGGUUUGUUGCAAGGCAGUAUCUCAGAUACUCUGCCACAGUGGCACAGAUGUGGCUUCUCAGACAUCUGAUCUCAGACAUCAGGGGUGAGGAGACAUGAGGAUUCCAGUUAAAUCCUGUUAAAUUCACUUCCCUCUUUUAAAAUCAUUGUUAUAUCAGUUGAGUCAAACGCAUAGUAGGCCUACUGACUAGGUCAACAGAAACUAAAAGGUUUAAUGCUACAUUUGAUGACCUAGUGCCAAUUUUUUUCCUAAUCUUUUAGGAAUCUUUCCUGUGCUUGCAGAUAGGAAAAGGGGAGAGAACAGUCUAAGUAAAUGAGGCAGAAAUCCAUAUCGCAAGAAAGGAAAUUUAAUAAGCUUCUUGGCCUCUUUUCAUUUUUUUUGCAUAUUUUUUUUAUUGGAGUUCAAUUUGCCAACAUAUAGUAUAAUACCCAGUGCUCAUCCCAUCAAGUGCCCCCCUCAGUUCAAUUUUGGUUUUUGUUGUUUAGGAAGAAAACUGAUCUUUGGUCCUUUGGCUAACAUUCUUUUAACUCCUCUUGCGCAAGGUCAUGACUAGUGGCCACGUUGAAAGAUUCUGACUAGGUAAAUGCCAUUUCUUGCAUACUGGAAAAGCAGAAGUUCUUUUUACUUAAGGUUAAUUUUAUCUCCCUUAGUUUAUCAUUUUGAAAUGUACGUUUUUCAGAUGAAGCCUGAUCAUAGGAAAAAAAAUUAGCUAAGAGGUAUAGCCACGUAAUAUGUGGCUAAUUGAGAGGGACCCAUCCAAAUGAAUCCACCUUGCCUAAGCAGAAUCCUACCACCUGGCUAUAUUAAAAUCCUCUACCUGUGGAACUUGGUAGCACCAAACUGAAAACUGCAUGCCCUAGGGAAAUCGCAUCAAAGUAUUCUAGACUCCUCUGGUGGGUCCUUUGCAUGUUUUCCAACUUAAGGAUAACCCUUGCCUUGAUGCCAUUUGAAAGAUGGAAUACCUGGCAAAGCCCUUAAGAGUGAAAUGUAUCUUUAAGAGGGAAGAUUAUCCUUCUAUCACGGCAGAUAUCCUUCUAUCUAGUUUUUCAACUAGGGGCAAUUUUUCCACCUUCCAGGGAACAUUUGGCAAUAUCUGAAGACAUUUUUUGCUAGGGAUGCUGCUAAAUGUCCUACAAUGCACAGAACAGUGCCUACAACAGACAAUUAUCCAGCUCAAAGAGAGUCUUACCCCCCCAGUGGUGGGAACGUAAGGUCCUUCUGUACCCAUAAAGAGGCCAUUCUCACCUAAAAAGGACUUCAGUGAUGUCUUCAGUACCAGUUCUCACUCUUCUCUGAGGGUUCUAGUGCUCCAUGGGCACUUCAGGUAGUAAAUGCAGAUUUUAAACGAUUGAUUCAAAAAAAGAGGAGUCUUCCAAACCAUUUGUCUUGUCCUUGUCCUUAAUCUUGAUUUGCCCUGUAGGUUACUCUUAUCAUAAAGACAGUAUGAAUGACUGUCUCAGCGCCUUUCCUCAUUAAUGCUGCUGAAAAUUGAUGAGUAGCUCUCUGGAACUGUGGCUAUUUUGGCAAGAAUUAUAGCCCCUAUUUAUUUUGGAGGACCCGUGCAGCUUUCUAAGUAAAUAUAUGUAGAAAAUUUCCCCCAAAAUAAACAGAACAAGUAAUUGCCUGAUGUAUGAAGU